rnacentral:rRNA from 1 species
UACGAAGGGGGCUAGCGUUGCUCGGAAUCACUGGGCGUAAAGGGUGCGUAGGCGGGGCUUUAAGUCAGGGGCGAAAUCCUGGAGCUCAACUCCAGAACUGCCUUUGAUACUGAAGAUCUUGAGUUCGGGAGAGGUGAGUGGAACUGCGAGUGUAGAGGUGAAAUUCGUAGAUAUUCGGAAGAACACCAGUGGCGAAGGCGGCUCGCUGGCCCGAUACUGACGCUGAGGCACGAAAGCGUGGGGAGCAAACAGG